UGAGGAAUAUUGGUCAAUGGACGCAAGUCUGAACCAGCCAAGUAGCGUGCAGGAUGACGGCCCUAUGGGUUGUAAACUGCUUUUAUAUGGGGAUAAAGUGGGGAACGUGUUCCCUUUUGUAGGUACCAUAUGAAUAAGGACCGGCUAAUUCCGUGCCAGCAGCCGCGGUAAUACGGAUGGUUCGGGCGUUAUCCGGUUUUAUUGGGUUUAAAGGGAGCGUAGGCCGUUUGGUAAGCGUGUUGUGAAAUGUAGGAGCUCAACUUCUAGAUUGCAGCGCGAACUGUCAGACUUGAGUGCGCACAACGUAGGCGGAAUUCAUGGUGUAGCGGUGAAAUGCUUAGAUAUCAUGACGAACUCCGAUUGAGAAGGCAGCUUACGGGAGCGAAACUGACGCUGAAGCUCGAAGGUGCGGGUAUCGAACAGG
rnacentral:rRNA from 1 species